rnacentral:lncRNA from 1 species
GAUACCGGGAAAAACGGACGAUAAUUAGAGAACUUCGAUGCCGGUUUUGAGCAAGUUUUUAAUUAAAAUUCAGUAUAAGCGCAGCUUUGCCCCACGAAAAUAUUUCAACAUAAGAUGCAUUUAGUUGAUAAUAUUGCUCUGACAAAAUAUUUCGUUGGGGCAAGAAUGCGCAGGUACUUUUUUCGUAAAAAAACUUGGCGAAAAUGAGUAAAAAAUUGCGAAAAGCCAACAAAUAUGCACGUGAAGCAGUGGCGGAUCCAGAGGGGGGGUUCCGGGGGUCCGCACCCCCCCUUUAUUUUGGCCGAUCAAUGCAUUUGAAUCGGGACAUAUGUUUUGCACCCCCCCUGCACCCCCCCCCCCUUUGCCCUGGGCUAGCACCCCCCCUUUCGAAAAUUCCUGCAUCCGCCACUGACGUGAAGUGUUGUCAGAACACGACAUUGUGACGUCAUAACUACAAAAAAACAUUUUUUUCAUAAAAUGAAUAUGUCCAACGGAAAAAGAAAG